GAAGGGUGCAAGCGUUACUCGGAAUUACUGGGCGUAAAGCGUGCGUAGGUGGUCGUUUAAGUCCGUUGUGAAAGCCCUAGGCUCAACCUGGGAACUGCAGUGGAUACUGGGCGACUAGAGUGUGGUAGAGGGUAGCGGAAUUCCUGGUGUAGCAGUGAAAUGCGUAGAGAUCAGGAGGAACAUCCAUGGCGAAGGCAGCUACCUGGACCAACACUGACACUGAGGCACGAAAGCGUGGGGAGCAAACAGGAUUAGAUACCCUGGUAGUCCACGCCCUAAACGAUGCGAACUGGAUGUUGGGUGCAAUUUGGCACGCAGUAUCGAAGCUAACGCGUUAAGUUCGCCGCCGGGGGAGU
rnacentral:rRNA from 1 species